rnacentral:rRNA from 1 species
GAUGCACGCUGGCGGCGUGCCUAAUACAUGCAAGUCGAGCGAACAGAUGAGGAGCUUGCUCCUCUGACGUUAGCGGCGGACGGGUGAGUAACACGUGGAUAACCUACCUAUAAGACUGGGAUAACUUCGGGAAACCGGAGCUAAUACCGGAUAAUAUAUUGAACCGCAUGGUUCAAUAGUGAACGACGGUUUUGCUGUCACUUAUAGAUUGAUCCGCGCCGCAUUAGCUAGUUGGUAAGGUAACGGCUUACCAAGGCAACGAUGCGUAGCCGACCUGCGAGGGUGAUCGGCCACACUGGAACUGAGACACAGUCCAGACUCCUACGGGAGGCAGCAGUAGGGAAUCUUCCGCAAUGGGCGAAAGCCUGACGGAGCAACGCCGCGUGAGUGAUGAAGGUCUUCGGAUCGUAAAACUCUGUUAUUAGGGAAGAACAAAUGUGUAAGUAACUAUGCACGUCUUGACGGUACCUAAUCAGAAAGCCACGGCUAACUACGUG